UAGUUUGGUUGCUGGUUUUUGGACCUUUAUCUGCCUUACCUGUAGGGCAUGUAAAGGUUCAAAACCCAGCAACCAAACUG